AAAGACAAGGAGAGAGACUGGGAGUAUUAGGAUUUGGAGAGUAGUUGGCUGUCUUGGAGAGUUUUUGAAGGAUUGCUUGGAUUUUGGACCUGAACUGUUUGAUUGACCCUAGACUGAAUGAGGAACUGAAGAACGGAAUGAAGACCAUUUUGCUUGCUUUUUGACCACGAACCCUGACGAUUUAAAAAAUGUUGUCUUUACUUUAAGUGCCACAAUGUCAAGGAAGACCUCAGUCUUUGAUCACUUUGAUGAGCCAAGUGAAGGUAGCACAGUGGGAAACCAUUGUGCUAUAUGUAAGCAUUGCGGAACAUCUGUCUCUGGUUCAACAAAAGCUACUUCCAACUUCAUAAGGCACCUCAAAAGAAAGCACCCUGACAUCCUUGGGGAGUUUGCUGAUCAAUCUGGUCAGACUUCAGACCCUAAGAAGUGGGAGGCCACAGAUCCUCGCCAAGUGUAGCUUAUCAACAACAUUGUUAGCUUCAUUGCUAAUGAUCUCAUGCCCCUGUCUGUUGUAGACAGCACAGCCUUUCGCGACAUCCUUAGCACAGCUGAACCACGCUUCACUAUGCCCAGCAGGAAACCCCUCAGCCAGAAGCUACUUUCUCAACGCAUCUCCGGUGUCCAAGAUCAACUGAGGAGUCAAAUGCAGCAAGCCCAGGACAUCUACCUCACCAUAGAUCAGUGGUCAAGUAGAGAUAUGAGGCCCUUUAUUGGCCUCACCGUCCACUUCAUUGUGGACUACACACUAAAAACUGUCAUGUUGGCAUGUCUGCAUUUUAGGGGUGAAAGCUGAAACAUAUUCUUUCAAACAACAGCUUUCAUACUGAAGAGAACGUCUACAGAAUGUAUGAGGAGACUAUUGAAGUCUACAACAUUAUUUAUUAUUUGUUUAUUUAGCAGACACCUUUAUCCAAGGCAACUUACAGAGACUAGGGUGUGUGAACUAUGCAUCACCUGCAGAGUCACUUACAACUACGUCUCACCCGAAAGACGGAGCACAAGGAGGUUAAGUGACUUGCUCAGGGUCACACUAUGAGUCAGUGGCUAAGGUGGGAUUUGAACCGGGGAUCUCCUGGUUACAAGCCCUUUUCUUUAACCACUGGACCACACAGCCUCCUGUGACAAAGUUGCUGUAACAACAUGGCUGACAAAGUUUCAGGCAUAGUGACUGACAAUGCUGCCAACAUUGUGAAGGCAUUCACCAUAUUUCCACCACUGGAUGACCAAGAUGGUGAUGAAGACCAAGAUGAUGCUGUUGAUAUUGAGUUGGUGAGUGUGAGAGACAAACCGGAUUAUUUUCCACCCGAGCGUAGCCUCUGUUUCACUCACACUCUACAGCUGGUUAUUCAUGAUGCCCUGGAGCAGGCUGGCCCUUUUAAGACAGGUGAUGGCAAAGGUGUCUAGAAUAGUAUCUAACUGUCAUAAGUCCACCAAAGCAACAGAGUUACUGGAGGGACACUACAAACUGCAAAUUUCAAAUGCCACAAAGUGGAAUAGCCAGCUGAAGAUGGUGAGGUCAAUUUUGAAAGUUCCUGCAGAGGUCCUGUUGGAGCUUCAUGCCCCAUGCAAGCUCACACCAUACAAAUUGAAAAUCAUUGGGGAACUCUAUGAAAUACUGGAGCCCUUUGAAGAGUCACUGCGAAGGUCAAGGAAGACCAGAUCACUGCCAGCUAUGUCAUCGCAUGUGUCCAAGGUUUACGUCAUGCGAUAGCACACAUCAAUGAAACCUAUAACAAGAUGGUGGUAACCAUGCAGUUAUCCUUGGAGACACGCUUUGAAAAGUUUGAGUAGAUGGUGUGUUUCAAGAUGGCUGCAAGUCUGGAUCUUCAUUUCAAAUUGGUCUGGUGCAAGGAUGAAGAAGUGCACAGCAUGAGGGAACUGCUGACUAACAAGGUCACCUCCCUGCUACCAAGGGUUUCUGACAAGGCUACACCCUCACCACCAAAGACCUGCAUCAAACCUUUUUCAUAUAUGAUCAGGUGUAACAGAAUUGAUAAGUGAUGAUAAUCGUUAUGGCUGUAUGCAUAACUUGAUACUUUCUUUUUGAGGCAAUACAUACUACAGUACAACAUUGUCUAUGGUUUAUUUUCUUUUGUAUUUCUUGGAUGUGCACGUGCACAUUGUACUGUAAUAAAUGUAAAUUAUCAUUAUUGCUGUUUAAAAGUGGCAAUAAAAAUGAAAAAAGUA